ACCCAACUCAGAUGCUGGGAACCCCGGGGCGCGAUGUCGUGCGGUUCGCCCAUGCCCCGGGGGGAGCAAAUCGCGAAACCGACUGAGCGAGAC
rnacentral:ncRNA from 1 species